GGAUUAGAUACCCUGGUAGUCCACGCAGUAAACGAUGAGUACUAGAUUCUGGACGUCCCUCGGGGCGAUUUGAAUCGAAGCUAACGCAUUAAGUACUCCGCCUGGGGAUUACGGUCGCAAGAUUAAAACUCAAAGGAAUUGACGGGGGCCCGCACAAGCGGUGGAGCAUGUGGUUUAAUUCGAUGCAACGCGAAAAACCUUACCUACUCUUGACAUCCUAGGAAUUCUACCGAGAGGUGGAAGUGCCUGAAAGGGAGCCUAGAGACAGGUGCUGCAUGGCUGUCGUCAGCUCGUGUCG
rnacentral:rRNA from 1 species